AAGUCGUAACAAGGUUUCCGUAGGUGAACCUGCGGAAGGAUCAUUUCCGAACAAACUUAUACCAACCACUAUGUGCAACCGAGAGGAUGUAUGUAUCAGAGAAUCCCACAGGGGAUUAGGCAAAUGGAAAAUAUUCAUCUGUCUCUUCUCUUGUCUCUGCGUAUACAUACAUACUCUUUUUCCUUCACUUUUUUACCAACCACAUGAGGCCAGAGGCCUUGCAUUCGUGCUUGGCUUUGACGUCUCUUAUGAAUCUCGUAUAAUACUUUGAGGCAUGUGUCUUUGGCAUGUGUCUAUAGGAAAAACUAUAAUUUACGACAACUUUUAACGGUGGAUCUCUUGGCUCGU
rnacentral:misc_RNA from 1 species